GCGGACGUGGUGGAAUGGUAGACACGCGGGCUUGAGGGGCUCGUGCUUCACGGCAUGGGGGUUCAAGUCCCCCCGUCCGCACCA
rnacentral:tRNA from 1 species